rnacentral:rRNA from 1 species
CAAGACCUUGCGCUUUAGGAGUGGCCGAUAUCGGAUUAGCUAGUUGGUGAGGUAAAGGCUCACCAAGGCGACGAUCCGUAGCGGGUCUGAGAGGAUGAUCCGCCACACUGGGACUGAGACACGGCCCAGACUCCUACGGGAGGCAGCAGUGGGGAAUUUUGGACAAUGGGCGCAAGCCUGAUCCAGCCAUGCCGCGUGAGUGAAGAAGGCCUUCGGGUUGUAAAGCUCUUUCAGCCGGAAAGAAAUCGUGCAGAUUAAUAUUCUGCAUGGAUGACGGUACCGGAAGAAGAAGCACCGGCUAACUACGUGCCAGCAGCCGCGGUAAUACGUAGGGUGCGAGCGUUAAUCGGAAUUACUGGGCGUAAAGCGUGCGCAGGCGGUUUUGUAAGACAGACGUGAAAUCCCCGGGCUUAACCUGGGAACU